UGAGUUGUAUAUGUUUUGUUAAU
rnacentral:snRNA from 1 species